ensembl:lncRNA
UUUCUUUGAUUCCAAAAUUCAACAAUCAAACAGAUAAACAUAAGCUAUGUCCCUGAAGGCACCAUCUCAUGUGGUCUCCGUAGUGUAGUGGUUAUCACGUUCGCCUAACACGUGGAAGGUCCCCGUUUCGAGACCGGGCGGAAACAGCUGUUGAUGUUUCCUUCUUGAUUCCGAACUUCAACAAUCAAACAGAUAACCAUACGCUAUGUCCCUGAACGCACCAUCUCAUUUGGUUUCCGUAGUGUAGUGGUUAUCACGUUCGCCUCACACGCGAAAGGUCCCCGGUUCGAGACCGGGAGGAAACAGUCGUUGGUGUUUCUUUCUUUGAUUCCGAACUUCAACAAUCAAACAGAUAAACAUACGCUAUGUCCCUGAACGCACCAUCUCAUGCGGUUUCCUUAGUGUAGUGGUUAUCACGUUCGCCUAACACUGGAAAGGUCCCGGUUAGAGACCGGCGGAAACAGUUUUUGAUGUGUUUUUCUUUGAUUCCGAACUUCAACAUUCAAACAGAUAUACAUAAACUAUGUCCCUGAACGCACCAUCUCAUGUGGUUUCCGUAGUGUAGUGGUUAUCACGUUCGCCUAACACGCUAAAGGUCCCCGGUUCGAGACCGGGCGGAAAUAGUCUUUGAUGUCUUUUUCUUUGAAUCCGGCGUGAUGCUUUGUUUUUGUGCGUGAAUGCCAUAUGUUGCUGGAUAUAUUGCGCUGGAUAUACUCUAUGUCCCUGAACACACCAUCUCCUGUGGUUUCCGUAGUGUAGUGGUUAUCACGUUCGCCUAACAUGCGGAAGGUCCCUGGUUCGAGACCGGGCGGAAACAGUGUUGGAUGUUUUUUUCUUUAUUCCGCACUUCAACAAUCAAACAGAUGAACAUAAAGCUAUGUCCCUGAACGCACCAUCUCAUGUGGUUUCCGUAGUGUAGUGGUUAUCACGUUCGCCUCACACACGAAAAGGUCCUCGGUUCGAGACCGAGCAGAAACAGUUGUUGUUGUUUUUUUCUUUGAUUCUUCAACAAUCAAACAGAUAAACAUACGCUAUGUCCCUGAAAGCACCAUCUCCUGUGGUUUCCGUAGUGUAGUGGUUAUCACGUUCGCCUCACACGCGAAAGGUCCCCGGUUCGAGACCGGGCGGAAACAGUCGUUGAUCUAUUUUUGUCUAUAUUCCGAACUUCAGCAAUCAAACAGAUAAACAUAAGCUAUGUCCCUGAACGUACCAUCUCAUGUGGUUUCCGUAGUGUAGUGGUUAUCACGUUCGCCUAACAUGCGAAAGGUACCCGGUUCGAGACUGGGCGGAAACAGUCGUUGAUGUUUUUUUCUUUAUUUCCAACUUCAGCAUUCAAACAGAUAUACAUACGCUAUGUCCCUGAAAGCACCAUCCCUGGUGGUUUCCGUAGUGUAGUGG